rnacentral:rRNA from 1 species
UACGUAGGGGGCAAGCGUUGUCCGGAUUUAUUGGGCGUAAAGAGCGUGUAGGCGGCUUUACAGGUCCGUUGUGAAAACUCGAGGCUCAACCUCGAGACGCCGGUGGAAACCGUAAAGCUAGAGUCCGGAAAGAGGAGAGUGGAAUUCCGUGGUGUAGCGGUGAAAUGCGCAGAUAUACAGGAGGAACACCGAUGGCGAAGGCAGGUCUCUGGGCCGAUACUGACGCUGAGGACGAAAGCGUGGGGAGCGAACAGG